GUACUUGCUUUGGCAACACAUACACUAAAAUUCAAACAAUACAGAGAAGAUUAGCAUGGUUCCUGUGCAAGGAUGACAUGCAAAUUCGUGAAGCGUUCCAUAUUCUU